rnacentral:rRNA from 1 species
UUUUCAGCAGCCGCGGUAAGACGAAGGUGGCUAGCGUUAUUCGGAUUUACUGGGCAUAAAGCGCGCGUAGGCGGCUUGACAAGUCGGAGGUGAAAGCCUGCAGCUCAACUGCGGUGUGCCUCCGAAACUGUCGAGCUUGAGUGCAGGAGGGGUAAUUGGAACUCCAGGUGUAGCGGUGAAAUGCGUAGAUAUCUGGAGGAACACCAGAGGCGAAGGCGAAUUACUGGACUGCAACUGACGCUGAGGCGCGAAAGCUAGGGGAGCAAACAGGAUUAGAAACCCCCGUAGUCC